GACGAACGCUGGCGGCGUGCUUAACACAUGCAAGUCGAACGGAAAGGCCCUGCUUGCAGGGUACUCGAGUGGCGAACGGGUGAGUAACACGUGGGUGAUCUGCCCUGCACUUCGGGAUAAGCCUGGGAAACUGGGCCUAAUACCGGAUAGGAGCCAUUUUUAGUGUGAUGGUUGGAAAGUUUUUUUCGGUGUAGGAUGAGCUCGCGGCCUAUCAGCUUGUUGGUGGGGUAAUGGCCUACCAAGGCGGCGACGGGUAGCCGGCCUGAGAGGGUGGACGGCCACAUUGGGACUGAGAUACGGCCCAGACUCCUACGGGAGGCAGCAGUGGGGAAUAUUGCACAAUGGGCGCAAGCCUGAUGCAGCGACGCCGCGUGGGGGAUGACGGCCUUCGGGUUGUAAACUCCUUUCGCUAGGGACGAAGCUUUUUGUGACGGUACCUAGAUAAGAAGCACCGGCUAACUACGUG
rnacentral:rRNA from 1 species